rnacentral:tRNA from 1 species
GCCUACUUAGCUCAGCUGGUCAGAGCUUCCGUUUCAUACGCGGGUGGUCACUAGUUCAAAUCUAGUAGUAGGCA